rnacentral:rRNA from 1 species
GGUUAAGCGACUAAGCGUACACGGUGGAUGCCCUGGCAGUCAGAGGCGAUGAAGGACGUGCUAAUCUGCGAUAAGCGUCGGUAAGGUGAUAUGAACCGUUAUAACCGGCGAUUUCCGAAUGGGGAAACCCAGUGUGAUUCGUCACACUAUCAUUAACUGAAUCCAUAGGUUAAUGAGGCGAACCGGGGGAACUGAAACAUCUAAGUACCCCGAGGAAAAGAAAUCAACCGAGAUUCCCCCAGUAGCGGCGAGCGAACGGGGAGCAGCCCAGAGCCUGAAUCAGUGUGUGUGUUAGUGGAAGCGUCUGGAAAGGCGCGCGAUACAGGGUGACAGCCCCGUACACAAAAAUGCACAUGCUGUGAGCUCGAUGAGUAGGGCGGGACACGUGGUAUCCUGUCUGAAUAUGGGGGGACCAUCCUCCAAGGCUAAAUACUCCUGACUGACCGAUAGUGAACCAGUACCGUGAGGGAAAGGCGAAAAGAACCCCGGCGAGGGGAGUGAAAAAGAACCUGAAACCGUGUACGUACAAGCAGUGGGAGCACGCUUAGGCGUGUGACUGCGUACCUUUUGUAUAAUGGGUCAGCGACUUAUAUUCUGUAGCAAGGUUAACCGAAUAGGGGAGCCGAAGGGAAACCGAGUCUUAACUGGGCGUUAAGUUGCAGGGUAUAGACCCGAAACCCGGUGAUCUAGCCAUGGGCAGGUUGAAGGUUGGGUAACACUAACUGGAGGACCGAACCGACUAAUGUUGAAAAAUUAGCGGAUGACUUGUGGCUGGGGGUGAAAGGCCAAUCAAACCGGGAGAUAGCUGGUUCUCCCCGAAAGCUAUUUAGGUAGCGCCUCGUGAAUUCAUCUCCGGGGGUAGAGCACUGUUUCGGCAAGGGGGUCAUCCCGACUUACCAACCCGAUGCAAACUACGAAUACCGGAGAAUGUUAUCACGGGAGACACACGGCGGGUGCUAACGUCCGUCGUGAAGAGGGAAACAACCCAGACCGCCAGCUAAGGUCCCAAAGUCAUGGUUAAGUGGGAAACGAUGUGGGAAGGCCCAGACAGCCAGGAUGUUGGCUUAGAAGCAGCCAUCAUUUAAAGAAAGCGUAAUAGCUCACUGGUCGAGUCGGCCUGCGCGGAAGAUGUAACGGGGCUAAACCAUGCACCGAAGCUGCGGCAGCGACGCUUAUGCGUUGUUGGGUAGGGGAGCGUUCUGUAAGCCUGUGAAGGUGUGCUGUGAGGCAUGCUGGAGGUAUCAGAAGUGCGAAUGCUGACAUAAGUAACGAUAAAGCGGGUGAAAAGCCCGCUCGCCGGAAGACCAAGGGUUCCUGUCCAACGUUAAUCGGGGCAGGGUGAGUCGACCCCUAAGGCGAGGCCGAAAGGCGUAGUCGAUGGGAAACAGGUUAAUAUUCCUGUACUUGGUGUUACUGCGAAGGGGGGACGGAGAAGGCUAUGUUGGCCGGGCGACGGUUGUCCCGGUUUAAGCGUGUAGGCUGGUUUUCCAGGCAAAUCCGGAAAAUCAAGGCUGAGGCGUGAUGACGAGGCACUACGGUGCUGAAGCAACAAAUGCCCUGCUUCCAGGAAAAGCCUCUAAGCAUCAGGUAACAUCAAAUCGUACCCCAAACCGACACAGGUGGUCAGGUAGAGAAUACCAAGGCGCUUGAGAGAACUCGGGUGAAGGAACUAGGCAAAAUGGUGCCGUAACUUCGGGAGAAGGCACGCUGAUAUGUAGGUGAAGUCCCUCGCGGAUGGAGCUGAAAUCAGUCGAAGAUACCAGCUGGCUGCAACUGUUUAUUAAAAACACAGCACUGUGCAAACACGAAAGUGGACGUAUACGGUGUGACGCCUGCCCGGUGCCGGAAGGUUAAUUGAUGGGGUUAGCGCAAGCGAAGCUCUUGAUCGAAGCCCCGGUAAACGGCGGCCGUAACUAUAACGGUCCUAAGGUAGCGAAAUUCCUUGUCGGGUAAGUUCCGACCUGCACGAAUGGCGUAAUGAUGGCCAGGCUGUCUCCACCCGAGACUCAGUGAAAUUGAACUCGCUGUGAAGAUGCAGUGUACCCGCGGCAAGACGGAAAGACCCCGUGAACCUUUACUAUAGCUUGACACUGAACAUUGAGCCUUGAUGUGUAGGAUAGGUGGGAGGCUUUGAAGUGUGGACGCCAGUCUGCAUGGAGCCGACCUUGAAAUACCACCCUUUAAUGUUUGAUGUUCUAACGUUGACCCGUGAUCCGGGUUGCGGACAGUGUCUGGUGGGUAGUUUGACUGGGGCGGUCUCCUCCUAAAGAGUAACGGAGGAGCACGAAGGUUGGCUAAUCCUGGUCGGACAUCAGGAGGUUAGUGCAAUGGCAUAAGCCAGCUUGACUGCGAGCGUGACGGCGCGAGCAGGUGCGAAAGCAGGUCAUAGUGAUCCGGUGGUUCUGAAUGGAAGGGCCAUCGCUCAACGGAUAAAAGGUACUCCGGGGAUAACAGGCUGAUACCGCCCAAGAGUUCAUAUCGACGGCGGUGUUUGGCACCUCGAUGUCGGCUCAUCACAUCCUGGGGCUGAAGUAGGUCCCAAGGGUAUGGCUGUUCGCCAUUUAAAGUGGUACGCGAGCUGGGUUUAGAACGUCGUGAGACAGUUCGGUCCCUAUCUGCCGUGGGCGCUGGAGAACUGAGGGGGGCUGCUCCUAGUACGAGAGGACCGGAGUGGACGCAUCACUGGUGUUCGGGUUGUCAUGCCAAUGGCACUGCCCGGUAGCUAAAUGCGGAAGAGAUAAGUGCUGAAAGCAUCUAAGCACGAAACUUGCCCCGAGAUGAGUUCUCCCUGACUCCUUGAGAGUCCUGAAGGAACGUUGAAGACGACGACGUUGAUAGGCCGGGUGUGUAAGCGCAGCGAUGCGUUGAGCUAACCGGUACUAAUGAACCGUGAGGCUUAACCUUAC